CACAGAGGAACAUCGGCUGCAGCCUCCAGUCCGGUGCACACAUUCUCUGGAGCGUAUCUCACUUGUUUAGCAGAUUGACAUCUAAGCUGAGCGUGUCCUGGACUCGCAACAUUAAUCUCGCCCUAAUUGCACCUNUGGAAUCCGCAAGAUUCAACAGGAGUGGAACAAAGAUGCUACACCAAACGCCUUUAAAAAGAAAAAAAAAAUAGAAGUCCCUGGAGGUGAGAGCAGAAGCAGAUUAAAAAAAAAACUAAAAACCACUAAGUAGGAUUUAGGAGCAACCAUAAUAUAAGCAAACGCGAAUGGAUUAGCUCCUGCUUCAUUCUCUGGAAAGAAUCAAUCUUGGAUUACUUUGCUUGAUUUUAAAUGGAGCAGAAGGAUUAGUGUAGGAAACAUGAUGCUUGUUAACAGUCCCUGUAUACCUUGCGCUAGGUCGGACAGCCUUGACUAAGCCGUCAGCACCUUUGCUUUGGACCAAGAGAUCAGCAGCAGCACAGGACUCAGGAGGCGGGAGCACUGGAAUUCCCACGCUAAACUCUCAGUUCACCCAAAUUUCUGGGGCAGAAUCUAAGUUGCCGCAUUUUUCUAGGGAGAAGAGGUCUGCAAAACUCUCUCAUUUUGACUGGGGAAAGAUUCCUUCCUCCCUUCCUUCCUCCCUUCCUUCCUUCCUUCCUUCCUUCCUUCCUUCCUUCCUUCCUUCCUUCCUUCCCCAUUCUCAUUCUCAUUCUCUUUUUCUCUUCUCGUUUUAUUUUUGCCCUAUCCAGGCGACAAAGAAUUGCAACUUGCUGAAACAGUUUCAGAUGCCAGAAGCAGUUUGCAGGGGCGAUGAAUCAAAACUGGNGAAUUUUGUAUUAGGAGUCGGCUUGCAAGCAACAAAAACCAAAACCCNUUUCCAAGUUGUCAGCAAAUCUGCAUAAAUGCAAAGCAUCAAUUGUAUUUCUAGGCAAGUUUGGUCUCCCUCCUCCCUGAGCCAUGAUUUGGGGCCCCGGGCGCAACAGAUCACCACGUACCAUCAUCAUCCAGGUGAUGUAGGAAAAUGCCUUUUUCUCGGACAGAGCUUUGAUCUUGGCUGAUCAGGUUUAUUUGUCUGUCAAAACCACCCAGGGUUUCUUUCCUGAUACCAAAGACCACUAAAUUGCUU
rnacentral:lncRNA from 1 species